rnacentral:rRNA from 1 species
AAUGAACGCUGGCGGCAUGCCUAACACAUGCAAGUCGAACGAAGGCUUCGGCCUUAGUGGCGCACGGGUGCGUAACGCGUGGGAAUCUGCCCUUGGGUUCGGAAUAACAGUUAGAAAUGACUGCUAAUACCGGAUGAUGUCGUAAGACCAAAGAUUUAUCGCCCAAGGAUGAGCCCGCGUAGGAUUAGCUUGUUGGUGGGGUAGUGGCCUACCAAGGCGACGAUCGUUAGCUGGUCUGAGAGGAUGAUCGGCCACACUGGGACGGAGAUACGGCCCAGACUCCUCCGGGAGGGAGGGGUGGGGAAGAUUGUACAGUGGGAGGGAGGCUGAUGCAGCAACGCAGCGCCCGGGAUGACGGGAUUCGGGUGGUGUACCGCUUUCGCUUGUCCCGAAGUGUGAGUGACGGUACUGGGUAAAGAAGCACCGGCUAACUACGUG